AGCUCCAUUUCAGCUCAGGGAAAGGGUUAAAGGGUCAGCUGGGAGGGAGCCCCCUGUUUGGGUGUUGUGAGGGUCUGUAGAUGCCCUCAAAACCUCGUUUCCUCUCCCAAACAAUGGUACCCACCGUGGAGGAGGGAGGCAAACAGGAUCGUAGCCCCUGGAGUCCAGCUUCUAAAGAUGCUAAAUGGAGAGGUUGCCUGAGUAGGGGGUCACUUUGUCCAGAGAGCAAACUGCUCCCCACUUCCCACCCCUGAUCCUAAAGAGAAAGAAGGAAAACCUUGCCUUCCCUGGAAGCCUCUAGUCAUUCCCAGCACAGGAGCCGCGCGCCUGAACACAGCUAGGGCCAGGAACUGGUGGCUCGGAGAAGGGAAGGCAGGGGAGAGCUGCGACCCUUGGCCACACUGGGGCCCAGAGCAGCCAAGAGCGAGGAGGAGGCCCGAGGUGGGGAGAGCAGAGGCCGACCCUGGCCAGGACCAGCCCAGCCGCACUGUUCCUGGGAGGGGGUGGCCAAGAGACGCCAGGGAUGGAAGACAGUCAGGCUCCAGGCUCCGGGUGGCUGGGCAGGUUUGUGAGAGGCCCAGAGAGAAGUAAGGAGCCCUGGUGGAUGGGGACCCUGGGCCCAGCGCCAGGCCUGAGCAAGGCCUCACUGAUACACCUGCCUGGUCACCGCCUCUCCGCCUCCGUCUCUGCAGCUGGAGGUCUCCAAGAUAAGAUUUCUCACCUUGGAAUGUUAUCAAGGGGCGUCUACACUCGCCGGCGGGCUAGUGCCUGUAUUCCAGGGUCACUUCAGGGCAAGCCCUGCGUUGAGCCUGCAGUGGAGACAGUGGAGGGGAGUGCUGAGAAAGUGGCUGGCAGGAGACAUAGACGGAAAAAGCAGAGUGUGAGAAAGUACCAGGGAAACUAGGGAGCCAACAGAAGAGUAUGACUGGCACAGGAAGCGGGUUGACCUGAAGAGUCGCUGUGAAGUCGCCCUGCCAGAACAUCCUGGGGGUGCCCCCUGGCUCUGCAGAGUCUGAGCUGCCCCAGGUAAGACUGUCCGUUCCGAAUUCAUAAACGAACCCCAGAGGCUGAGGACUCCGACUGGGAUGCAGAGAACAAGUUUGCAUCUUCCUUUCCUGGCCUUCAUUCAGCCUGGGCCCUUCGCUCCCCGCCCCCACCGAUGUCCCCUCCAACCACCUCUCCCCCUCCAGACACCCUCAGCGUCGCAGGUGCUCACGCACACGCCCCACAGCGGGCGGCCAGCCCCGUGGGCCGAGGCGGCGGACUCACCUGGGCGGCGGCAGCGGCGGCGCCGGGCGGGAGCUGCCGUCGGAAGGUGCGGAAGGAGAGGAGCCAGCGGCCUGUCCCCGUCCGGGACCCGGCUCCCUCCCGCCCCGGCCCCGUGAGGCGAGGUCCGAGUGGCCACGUGUCCGGCGCGGAAGUCCGAGGGAGCGAGGGAGUCUGCCUGGCCGCCCGCUCCCCCCUCCCGGGUAUAAAUCUUGGGGACCGGAAAUACAAUAAAACUUCACCGUGUUGAUGAACUUCAAAUGGUUUACAUCCCCUCACGUCCCUGAAAAGAAAGACGGCCGGGGGGCGGGUUAAAAGGAGGGGAAACAAAUUUACGAGCCGCAGAAGCAGCCGCCUCGGCCCCUUUUCUUUCGCCCGAGAGCGGACUGCGUCCGCGUGGAGAGAAGCAGCCUCGGCCGCCGGCCCCUGGGACUUUGCCUCGGCCGCGCCCGCAGCCAGGGCCUCUUCUGUCGCACGAGUCGCCCGCGCGGCGGCCAGGACUGGAAGCCACCGCCCGGGCCCACCAUGCACCGAGCCCCGCGCGCGGCCUCGGCUCGGCUCCCCCGGGCUCUUCGCCGAGGCGGAGUUAGACGCCCGGUCCUUCCUCGCUGCGACCAGGGCUCUGCCCACCACGCCUUGUGGCCUCCGGUUUCCCAUCUUUCCGCUGAAAGCGGGUUUUUUCUUUUCUUCUUCCUUUUUUUUCCCCCCUCUUUUUUCUUUUUUCCUCUCUAGCCGCCCGACCUUGGCCGGGCCCCACCCCGGUAUGGCCAGGUACUUGCUUGAAGGGGAAAAAGUCUCAGAAGGCCUGAAGGCGCUGAGCCCGGCAAGGGCUCCCAGGGGAGAAACCGAGAGGCCGGUCCCGGGCCCGGAGUGGAGGUGACGGCCAGCGCUGAGAAGCGUCCAGAUUGGCCUCUGCCGGGCUCUGCCACCGGCUUGCUGUCCGGCUCCUUCAAAGCCUUCAAGGUCAAACAGAAACAAACCACCACCCGCACCUCCACUGCCCUCUCCAGAGUUCUCUUCUGACCCGGACCGUUUGUUGUUGUUGUUGCUGUUGUUCUGUUUCUGUUCU